rnacentral:lncRNA from 1 species
GAAAACUGAAGUUUAAGGAAGUAAAGUAAAUUACACAAGGCCUAAUAAUCAAGUGAUGAAACAGGGUUUGGAUAUAUCUGGUUUCAUAGUCUGCUGCUCCUCUAGCUGCCUGGACCUCACCAUAAGGAAUGAAGGGGAAAUAAAGACCCUCUCAGAUGAAGAAACACUAAGAGAAUUUGUCACCAGUAGACCAUUCCUAAAGGAAGUCCCUGAAACAGAAAGGAAGUGAUUAAAGAAAGAAUCUUGGAACAUCAAAAAGAAAUAACAGGAAGAACAGAAAUAUGGUUUACAGGGAGAAGACAGUUGUUGACAAUCCAGGAAGCAGGCCUUCAUCAGACAACAAAUCUUCUGGCACUUUGAUUUUGGACUUCCCAGUCUCUAGAACCAUGAGAAAUAAACAUCUGUUGUUUAUAAUCUACUCAGUUUAUGGUAGUUUGUUAUAUCAGCCUGAACGGACUAAGAUAUAAACUAUAACCACUGGAAGAAACUGGGUGAGGUGUUAUCAGGACCUCACUAUAUUAUCAUUGUAACUUUCUGGAAAUCUAUAAUUAUUUUAAAAACUGUUUAAUACUUUGCAAUGAUGAAAAAGUUCUGGAAAUAGAUAAUGGUGAUGAUUGCACAACAUUGUGAGUGUACUUAAUGUCAGAUUUGUAUACUUAAAAUGGUUAAAGUGGUAACUUUUAUGUAAUGUAUAUUUUUCUACAUUUUAAAAAAUGACUCUUCCUGAUAUUAUCAAAUUAAAUCUCUUAGAAAAUAUGAAAAUGAUCUUGGUCAAAGACAACAAAUGCUAUGAGACUGCUGAUCAUGGAAGAUUGAUUCACUUGCCCUGUACAUUUCAUUCUUUCAGCAUUUAACAUUUUAAAUGGAUUCAUUUUUUAGAUUAAAAAAAUCAAAAAGUAAACAUUCCCAUUCACCUCUCUUCUCCUCCUUAAAGAUGUUUGGUGCCAUCUGGUGAUAAGGUAAAAAGAUUGGGUUUCCAGAGGGAUUAGUAUAGGCUGCUUAAAGUAGUAAGUUAGCAGAGAGGUUUUUAACUUGCAGUGACAAAUGGCUUUGGGCUAUGAUCAAGUUCUACAAAUAGAUUAAGCCCUUUUUCUUCUUAGAAAUAAAACUGGCCUGUCAAGUCCUAAAAAUAGGUUGCUAAUCACCUGGCCUAUUUUCUCACUGAUUUUAUUUUUUAUUUUUUCUCUUGGCCAGAACUCAGUAAUUCUUACCUAAUUAAGAAAUUAAGUGUAAAAUUCUUUAAUAGGAGCUAUUUCCUUAUAAAUUGUCUCCUUUAAUGUGUUUAUAGUUUCUUAUAUCAAAAAGUACAACUGCAGAAGGAAAUAAAAUAUCUAAGCAAACCCAG